UGAACUGCAGCUGGGGGGUGACCGUGGAAGAGGAACUUUGACUGUUGUCUUUGUUUGUUCCAGGAUUCCAGCCCAGGGUCUCAGCACCCCCAGCUUCCGAGGAGCCCCAGGAUGGAAUCUUAUACACUCAUCUGGAUUUUGAUUUGCGGAGUCGUGACAGGAGCACGAUGCAGUGAUCGGCCAGAGGGAAAAGCAUAAAACCCUGAAUUGUCUAGUCCAGGGGAAUCUGCAAGCGAAAUAAAAAGUCAGAAGACCCCCACAGAGUCCAGCCUCAUCAG